AACUUCUGAAUGUUGAGCUCGGAUCAGGUAGGAAUA
rnacentral:rRNA from 1 species